GGCUACACCACCUAGCUCAUUUCCUCCUCCUCCUCCUGAGUUAGUAGCACCUUCUUCACUGUCUACGUCAAAGAAGACUAGAAAAGCAACAUGACUCAGAUUGUUGGCUACUAGACCAGCUAGGGUGAAGAGACCAGUGCUUCAUUUUGAUCUUGUCACUGGGAAAGCCGAAGGUCCCCACAAAAAUAAAUUAUGAACAUAUUUAGGGAUUAUCACUCGCGAUAAGGUGGAUGUUACAUAUGAUAAUUGGAAACAAGUCCAUGUUGCUCAAAAGAAUAUGAUCUGGGAAGAUAUUCAAGUAUUUAAAUUAAAUGUUGAAUGUUUGUUGUAAUAUGUUGUACUAAAAAUCCUACUUUGUAAUUUACUAACUACAAAAUGUAUUUAUUGUAUCGCAGGCUGAAUUUGAUAUCCAUGAAUCAUCCAAUUUGAGGACAAAGAAAAAAACUCCAUAUUUAGGUAUUAUUGUCAACUAUAAUAAGUUAUCAUUAUGUGUUAUUGUCACAGGAUGUUCGAAAGAAGGCACAGGCCAUUCAGAAACAAACUACUACCCCUCACGUGUUGUCUCGAGUGGGUUAUGAUUUUCCAUCUCCCAUAAGAUGACACGUGAAGGGGAAACGAUUGGAGGAAGCAGCCCAAUCUAGGAGCACUGACAUAGUCGUUGAUCCUCAAUCUCCCAUUAGACGACAUGUGAAGUGGAAGAUGGCCCACAUGAAGAAAAAUGGUCAAAUGACGUCUGAAGCUGCAAAGGAAAUCGUAGACAAGAGUGAUUCCUUGGAGGAGCAAGCCUCACAGGGAAGCUUUGUCGCCCAUGAACAUUAGGAUGUACUGGCAAUUGCCAUUUGUUGACCAGAGACCAAUGGGAGGAGUCAAUCACACAAAAAAGUGACUCAACAAUUAAUAAUGUCCUUCAAUCAGAUGUAAUCGUAGAUGCAAAGGAAAGUUGUGUCAAUCCCUUGGGGUAGGACACAGAAACGGGAGACUCAAACAAAUGUGAUUUGUAUGUCAAUGACACUCCUCCCCGACUGGUUGCUCUUGGAAGAGUUUAUGAGGGGUCAACGACUGUCCACAAUGUUCCUUUCGGCAAUGAUCAAGUGAUGGUUAGUGUUGAGGAAGUCCGAGAUGUUAAUGCUCGCAUUCCUGUACCUACUCGAUAGGUUCAGUUAGUGGGACAAACACUUAACACCUUUAUUGCUUGGCCUACACAUUUUGUAAAGCCUUUUUCAGAACAUGUAGGAUAAACAUGUUGUUGAGGGACUGACGAAACCUAUAGAUAUGCUAGAUCCUGACAUCGAUCCCUUGUACCUCAUGACAUUGACCAUUCUGCAACUUUUCCUCAAGCCAUUGCAGGUUCCGUGGGAUGCUAGUGUGUUUGAAGUGUAUAAUGAUAACUUCCCAUUUUACAUAAAACAUGAAGAUCUUUCAGAAAUAGCUCAUGAUGGUCAAUGUCUGAGCAUCUCUGUUAUACAAUUGUGGAUUCUAUAAAUCACUUUACCUUAUUGUAUAUUACUUAA